rnacentral:rRNA from 1 species
GCGACCCCAGGUCAGGCGGGAUCACCCGCUGAGUUUAAGCAUAUCAAUAAGCGGAGGAGAAGAAACUUACAAGGAUUCCCYUAGUAACGGCGAGCGAACCGGGAAUAGCCCAACU